AUGCUCCGCCUUCCCUCCACUUCUCCCAUCUCCUCUCUCUGUCGCCUCGUCUCCACCGCCGCGCCGCCGCCCGUUUCCGCAAACCAUGGCUUCUCCGCGGAGGACUUUCUCGGCGACACCUGCGGCAUCGCCCGAGCCCAGGCCACCAGGGACUCAAAGAAACUCCCCCACCUCAAGCCGCCCACCAAUUCCGACGCCGUGCUCGCCUUCCUCGGCCCUAACGUCGUCGAGCUCGCCGGCCUCGGUCUGUCCCGCCCCGAGAUCGCGCGCCUGGUUUCGCUCGCCGGCGAAACCUUCCGAUACAGAUCCGUGGUCUUCAAGCAGCAGUACUACCUGGCCCUCUUCGGCUCCUCCGAGAAUUUCCUCCAGGGGCCCUUCGGAAGAUCCCAAUGUCAUGUUCCAGCGAGAGUGCUCACCACCAAACCCGGAGCAAGUCGCGGGAGAUGA
rnacentral:rRNA from 1 species